ACGGGUGAGUAAUGCUUGAUCAAUCUUGCCCUUGGAGGGGGGACACUACUUGGAACUGACUGCUAAUACCGCAUACGAUCCAAUCUCGGCGUGUGGACUGUUCGAAAGGUGUGCUCUAUUUUGAGCCUCACUGAAUUAGGGGAUUGCGUCUGAUUGGCUAGUUGGAGGGAUAAUGGCCCACCGAGGCGAUGAUCUGAACCCCAUCUGAGAGGAUGAACGGCCACCUUGACACUGACACACGGCCCAAACUCCUACUGUUGGCAACUGUGGGCAAUCUUCCCCAAUGCACGACAGUCUGACGAAGAAACGCCUCGUGAUUGAUGACUCUUUUCGGGUUGUAGAGCUCUGUUAGUCGGGACGAAUGGUUCUUGUGUAAUUACUGCAAGGAUUUGACCGGACCGGAAUAUGCCGCCACGCCUAACUACGUGCCAGCUGCCACGGUAAUACGUAAGUGGUGGGCGUUGUCCGGAUUUAUUGGGCGACUUGCGAGAGCAGUCAGUCAAUUAAGUCUGAUGUGAAAGUUGCCUUUUCUACUGGGUAGGUUCAUUGCUUUCUGGAUGACUUGAGUGCAGCAUAUGAGAGUGGAAAUUCCAUGAGAAGCGAGAAAUGCCGUAAAGAUAUGGAGGAACCAUCUGGUGAUGUACUGCAACUUCUCUGGUCUGUAACUGGCGCUGAGACUCGAAUGCGUGGCUAUGAAACUCAUUAUGAU
rnacentral:rRNA from 1 species